GACGAACGCUGGCGGCGUGCCUAAUACAUGCAAGUAGAACGCUGAAGGAGGAGCUUGCUCUUCUGGAUGAGUUGCGAACGGGUGAGUAACGCGUAGGUAACCUGCCUGGUAGCGGGGGAUAACUAUUGGAAACGAUAGCUAAUACCGCAUAACAGUAGAUGCUGCAUGACAUUUGCUUAAAAGGUGCAAUUGCAUCACUACCAGAUGGACCUGCGUUGUAUUAGCUAGUUGGUGGGGUAACGGCUCACCAAGGCGACGAUACAUAGCCGACCUGAGAGGGUGAUCGGCCACACUGGGAAUGAGACACGGCCCAGACUCCUACGGGAGGCAGCAGUAGGGAAUCUUCGGCAAUGGACGGAAGUCUGACCGAGCAACGCCGCGUGAGUGAAGAAGGUUGUCGGAUCGUAAAGCUCUGUUGUAAGAGAAGAACGAGUGUGAGAGUGGAAAGUUCACACUGUGACGGUAUCUUACCAGAAAGGGACGGCUAACUACGUG
rnacentral:rRNA from 1 species